rnacentral:rRNA from 1 species
UACGUAGGGGGCGAGUGUUGUCCGGAUUUAUUGGGCGUAAAGAGCUCGUAGGCGGUUCGGUAAGUCAGAUGUAAAAACUCCAGGCUCAACUUGGAGAGGCCAUCUGAUACUGCCGUGACUAGAGUCCGGUAGAGGAGCACGGAAUUCCUGGUGUAGCGGUGAAAUGCGCAGAUAUCAGGAGGAACACCAGCGGCGAAGGCGGUGCUCUGGGCCGGAACUGACGCUGAGGAGCGAAAGCGUGGGGAGCGAACAGG